rnacentral:lncRNA from 1 species
AUGCAUAGUCUGUGUAACUUAAAAUAGCUGUUCUUACUCUAUUUUAUAUUUUAGUUUGCUUUUUUUUUCUAUUUUGUAUGCGUCUUUAGCCAAAAAAAAAAAGAAAGAAAAGAAAAAGAAAAAGAAAGAUGAAAGAAUUAGCCACAUGCUUCUUAUUUUUAUCUUUGCCCUGUUAGGUUAUUUUUAACUCAGCCACCAGUAUAUCUUAAUACUCUUAUUGUGUGUGUGUGUGUGUGUGUGUGUAUGUAUGUAUGUAUGAGUGUACCAUAUAUGUUCAAAUGCAUGUAUACCGCAUAUGGAUUAUCUCCUUUUUAAAAAGGUUUUUAUAAAAUUUUAAAUUUUUUGUAUGUGUGCAUGUGGGCAUGUACAUGCAUGCAUAUGUAUAGAAAUCAGAAGAUAACCUGUGGGAGCUAGUUCUGCUUUCACCAUAUGGGUCCCAGAAAGUGAACUAGGAUCAAAUUGGGUGACAAGAACCAUACCCCAUUGAGCCAUCUCUUGUUUCUUACCUCCUUUUAGAGUAGGUUCAGCCUUUUUUAAACAAAAUUUUAAUAGUUUUACCUAAAAAAUUGGAAUUAUAUUUAAUUGCCUUUAAUAUUUUAUAUGCGAGUGUGAGUGCCAUAGCACGUAUAUGUGAAGAUCAAAGGACAGCUUUGCAGAGUUGGUCCCUGCCUUCUGUCUUGUUGGGGCAGGGUCUCUUGUUUCUGCUACUCUAGUACUCGGGCUAUCUGGCCUAUGAGCUUUCUACUGAGUCCUUCUGUCUCUCCCCCACAUCUCACAGUGUAAGUACAGGUUACAGAUGCAUGCUACUGCAUACAGCUUUUUACUUGGCUUCCAGGGAACCCACUCAGGUACCCUUGAGUCAUCUUCCUCAGCCCAGUUUUACAUUUCAUAACAUAACUUUGGUUGCUUUAAAAAAAAAAGUUUAACUGUACAGUGUUUGUUCUUAGGUUUUUAUACAAAAACAUCCUAUAAUAUAUUGAUAUUUUAAAUAUGUUUAUAAUUUUUAAGGAGAUUGAUUUACUGAAUCAAGUUCUUUAGUCCAAGCUCUCCUUUAACUUGGAUCAUUUUUCUCACCCUAGCUGCCACAUGCUGGGAUUUUAUAAGCAUAAGUCACCAUGCUAAGCUAGCUAUAGAAUUAUUUUAUACUCACUUUUCCCAUGUACACUCUUGUCAGUAAAUCUUCUGAAGAGCUAGAGUGGGAUACAAAGGAAGCAGCCAAUGCAAGAGCAUUGUUGAUAUGUUAAAAUAGCAAAGAAGGCAUGUAGCUGGAAGGAAUAAAUAAUGGAAGUGGUGAGUGAGGUCAAAAGAAAAUGUAUUUAUGUAUGUAUAGGGAUGGAAUAGAUAGCAUUGCAAGGCUAGCAGGCAAUCAUUUGGGGAUCCAGCAUUGUUCUGGUUAUUCUCUUGAGAAUGGCUUAGCCAUAUAGGGAAUUGCAGUAGAAGUGGUCAUUAUAGUAAUCCAAAUACAUGAUAUGAUGGCAGCUUUGUAAACUCAAGGAGAUAACUGAAAAGACGGUUAAAAAAAAUCACAUGCAUUUCUAUACAUUUGCUUAGCAACUAGAAGGAAGGAAAAUGGGAGAAAAGGAAAGAGAUCAAGGAUUAUGUUGAAUUUUUUUCCUGGGGAAACAUGAACAAACCCCAGAUAUGGCACAGAGAGUAGUCCAAAGAAAUGCUUCCAAUUGUAAUUUUGUGAGCUGAUAAGCUUAAUUGGGUUUACACAGAUGGGGUGGGGGUGGGGAGGAGUUAGCUACACCAGCAGAAUCCCCCUAAAUCCCAGAAAUGUUAGCUACUUAUAUAUCCUGAAGGUGGGUUGAGCUGCUCUGGUUGAUGAGUCCUUUGUGGCCCACUUCAUAACCCUACUCCUACAAGAGAAUGUUAGUAGUCUCAAUGUUAGAGAAGUCUUUUGUGGGUGAUCAAAGAUAGAUACCAUGCCAAAGGACAAAAUUCCACAGCAGAUGACUUAAGUACUUUUAGCUCGAGCAACUUGAAAUAAUGGAAUUGCCAAUCACUGACAUGUAUAGAUACAGUUUAUUUAUGGAAAACAUCAGGAAUUUUGGACAUGUAAAAAGUCUCUUAGACUUUGGAGUAAAGUUAUUUUAUAUUACUUCAAACUUCAGGAGAAAGGUGAAUUGGAGUAUGUGGAUGGUAUUACCAAGACGGUGAGUUUAGAUGGAGAAGAUAAUCAAGGACGAUUCAGUCAUUCAUUACAGAGUACACUGAAAAGAAUGUCAGGCAAGAUUAGAGUGGUGUAGAAGUCCACUAAAAAAACUGUUGAGAAGUC